ACUCAUCAAAAAUUUAAAGAAAAACCUUUACACAAAGGAUCUUAUGCAUGCUAUUGUUGAAGGAAAGUGCUAUUUACUUUGGAGUAUCUCUGACUUUCCUGUCGACAUAGUGACGUCACACUACGAUCUCUUUGAAGUGGUCGAACCAGAUCUCUGACUGCAGAUAAGUAAAGCAUAUAUCCGUAUGUAUAUAUAUAUAUGUAGGAAAAAUGCUACGUCUGUUAAUGUUGACGUUUAUGCUGGUGAUCUUAACUGUCUUUGAGGACACCAGAUAUAGGUCAGUUUUACCCACUGAUGUAGUACAGACGCCUCAUUGUGUUGGGGGUACGUCUUACGAAUUUGAUGAUGGUUGGAAAAAUUGUGUGCUGAAAUUGGACUGUAAUUCGUUAUUAUGCCUUAACUGCUUCUGUUUACAUGGUGUAAAUCUGUCAUUUUACACCUAUGACCGACACCUCCAAGUUAAAUUACCCAGUCCUAAUUCCACGAAUGCAGUUAAGCGGCACGUUUUUGUUUAUUUACUUUGUCUUUUGUCUGGAAAUAUUCACCCUAAUCCUGGACCUGGCUCUUUGAGUACUCCAGAUGAUUUUAAAUCUAGAUCUGGUAUUGGUUUUAUUCAUUGGAACAUUCGCAGCUUACUUCCAAAAAUGGACUCUGUGAGGAUCUGGGCUGAUUCAACAGAUGCUGGUUUUAUUGUUCUCUCUGAAACUUGGUUAAGUAAAGCUAUACCAGAUAGUGGGAUAAAUAUAAGUGGAUUUUCUCUGUUUAGAUGUGACCGAUUGAAAAGGGGUGGUGGAAUUGAAAUAUACGAACUAAAUAAAUUCCUUACCAUGGUGAUAACUGCAAUAUCAAUUAGUAAGAUGUUUGAGCUUUUAGUAUUGAAAAUUGAGCUUUCUAAGGAUGCUUAUUUAACUCUGGCUAGUUGUUAUAGGCCUCCCUCAGCAAACUCUGACUUUCUUGUCUUACUUGAACAGCAUCUCUCUGCCAUUGAAUUUAAUGAGAUACUUUUAGUUGGGGAUUUUAAUUGGGAUUGGUUAACUCCUGUCUCAGAUCGUUUUAAAUCCUUUUGUAACACUUUAAACCUAACACAACUAAUUGA
ensembl:lncRNA